AUGAUAAAGGAAAAUGAAGGGUUUUUGAUUGACAUGGAUGAAAGACAAAAUAUGUGGGUAACGUGGGCUAAUCAAACUGGACAGGAUAAUUUUUGCCUUUCAAUGGCUACCCCUUCGGAUCCUUUUCGAACUUGUUUAGUGGGCGCACCUUUAGAUGAUUCACUCAGUGCCACAAUGUUUAAAAACUGGACAAAGAAUUGGAAAACACCCAAGGAAGCAAACAAAACAUUAUGUGAAAUUCCAUCAGGUAAAUUCAGGAUCAAUAUCUGUGACAAAGGUUUAAUUCAGGCAAAUCCCAUUGGUGCUCAAAAUUGGUACAUUGCUACAGGUUUAAAUGUUACUGGGUCAGAACCACAAGAGUUAAGACUGUUAGGUUCAACCCUUAGCAAUUACUGUUUAAAUUUUGUCAAUAGGGCUAGGAACAAUCAUGUAAAAAAGUCUCAUGGGCCAAAUGGUACAAAUGUUUCUCCACAAAAUUUGCUAUAUUUGCAAAAUAAUGAUACAUACUGUGGCAAUUGGUCUCGUAAAGUAAAUUCUAGCAAUACACCUUUACAAUUACCACCUGGUGUUUUUCUAAUUUGUGGAGAUCGUGCAUGGCAAGGACUGCCAGCAAACACUUAUGGAGGGCCUUGUUAUUUUGGGAAAUUGACAUUGUUUGCACCCACUAUACAGCAACUAUUAAGAGCCAAUAGAACCAGGUUACGAAAAAGGAGAAGUGUGUUUCAAUUGGGACCAGAAUGCAAAGAUCAGGUUGAACUUUGGGAACAACCUACAGUGAUUGUGUCAUCUAUUUUUACACCUGGAGUUUCUAGUGCUCAAGCCUUCACACAGUUACGACGACUGGCAUGUUGGACAGGAAAACAGUUUAAUAUUACAUCAAAGGUUUUGUCUGAUUUGCUUUUGGAUAUGAACAGUGUUAGGCAUGCUGUAUUGCAGAAUAGAGCUGCUAUUGAUUUUUUGCUAUUAGCACAGGGCCAUGGCUGUGAAGACUUUGAUAGGAUGUGUUGCAUGAAUCUUUCUGACCAUUCAGUGUCUAUUCACACUCGUCUUCAACAACUACAGAGAAAUAUGAAAAAAUUAACCAUGGAAACAAAUCCAUUAGAGGAAUGGUUUCAAUCCCUAGGUCUCACAGGAUGGUUAAAAAAUUUGGCACAAAUGGCAAUUGUUGUUAUAUUGAUCAUUGUGAUUGUGUUACUGUUUAUUCCUUGCAUACUGCAAUGCUUACAAAACAUGAUAAAAAGGGCUACUUCUACAGUUUUGUUAGUACAAAAAGAAAACAGGGGAAUUGUAGAGGAAUGGCUAGAGAGCAAAGGUCAUAUUCCCAUGCAGCAGUUAGCUGGGAAAGAGCUAGACAAUGGAGUACAGUUGGUGUGA
ensembl:lncRNA